UUCUUAUCUUUUUCUGUCUCUUUCUCUUUGUUAAUUAAUUUACUUCUUCUCAUUACUAAUCAAGUUUCAUUCAAAGUAAACCAGUUUUCUGGUUUAAAUUGUCUUUAUUGUAAUCAUCAAAUCAGAGGUUAAUACAAACUCAAUUUAAUAAUAUAUCAAUCAUGUGAAAGUUGAUUGUCAAUGUGUAAAGACAAUAGUGAUUAUUGAGAAGACAGAAGAUUAAUCAGUGGAGAAUCAAUCAAUUAAUAUGUUAAUUGUGAUUAGAAAAAUGGUGAUUAUAUUGUAUCAAGUUUGGUGUUUUUUUUUUGGUUUCAUUUCGUUUGUUAAUCAAAACAUUUGAUUCUUUGUUUGGUUGUCAUCCGAUGGGAAUUU